CAAAGAGGGGAGCACAGACCCCGUGGAGGAGCCCAGCUGCUUUUCUCCCCCACUGCUCAGGAGGGGCUCCCUGCGCAGCGGGCAGUCUGAAGGUCCUGACUGGGGCCCUGGAGGCAUGCUGGAGAGGGUGGACGAAAGGCUGCGCGAGUGCUUGAGGACCACCCCCCUGGUGGAAGAGCUGCCCAAAGGCCUGCGCAGAGCCAGUCCUGCCCAGAUGGCCACCAAGUGGGUGGACUACUCCAAUAGGUAUGGGUUCGGCUACCAGCUCUCCAGUGGAUCAACCGCAGUGCUGCUCCCCGAUGGGACCCACCUGGCUUUCUGCCCCCAACGACAGUGAGUGCC